rnacentral:precursor_RNA from 14 species
UGAAUAUUCGAUUAGCCUGAAACUAACUUUUCCGCUUCUCAAUGCUCCAUUUGCAAAAUCAAAUUGAUUUUCUUGCAAAUGGGAUGAGAACCGGAAACGUUUGAUUGACGGAAACUUUGAAAAUGGU